GAACUAUGAUCAUCAAAAGAAGUUAUUUAUGAAGUUUUGUUUGCUUAGUUUGUUCUACAAAUAGGAGCUUCAAAGGGUUUAGCCCUAUCCGUUUGAAUAGUUAAUUAAUGGUUUUCAAUAAUAAUUUUGGAUUUUGAAAUAAUUGCAAUAAAGAGGUGUAAUAAUAACAAAAUUAAAUUAUUACACUAACAAAUAUAACAAGUAAAGUAACUUUGUAAUUUCUGCAUGUUUUUCAAAGCAGCAGCAAUAGGUAUUUUAAAGACAACUAAUAAUAUGCACAAUUUUUAAAGAUGAAAGAGUUUUCUGCACAGAUUUUAAAGAUGCAGA
rnacentral:lncRNA from 1 species